rnacentral:rRNA from 1 species
GAUGAACGCUCGCUACAGGCUUAACACAUGCAAGUCGCAGGGUAACAUGAGGAAAGCUUGCUUUCCAUGAUGACGACUGGCGCACGGGUGAGUAACGCGUAUCCAACCUUCCCAUAACUACGGGAUAACCCGUUGAAAGACGGCCUAAUACCGUAUGAUAUCGUUUGCUGACAUCAAAUAACGAUUAAAGGUUUAGCGGUUAUGGAUGGGGAUGCGUCUGAUUAGCUUGUUGGCGGGGUAACGGCCCACCAAGGCGACGAUCAGUAGGGGUUCUGAGAGGGAGGUCCCCCCACUUUGAAACGGGGCACCGGCCAAAACCCCACGGGAGGGCAGCAGGGGGGAUAAUGGGUCAAGGGGCGGAACCCGAAACCGGCAAGGAAGCGGCAAGGACGACGGCCCUAUGGGUGUAAAAUUGCUUUUAUGGGGGAUAAAGUGCGUGACGUGUCAUGCAUUGCAGGUACCACAUGAAUAAGGACCGGCUAAUUCCGUG